AAUGAGCUGAGGAACUUGUGGCAGCACGUUUGGAGGAGACAAACUUUAAAUGAUGGCAUUGGCAAUAAAGGUGUUCACCAAGAUGAUAAUGCAAUGAAAACAUUUGAAGCUAAUCCUCGAAAAGCAAAGCAACUAGUGGUGGAUCAGUACCUCCAAUGCAUAUCAAUAAAGAAGACGGUGAGAAAGGGAGUGAUGCCAAAAGUUCUUGUACAAAGUCAGAUGUGGAAGUAGAGAGCGUGUGCAAACAAAGUAACAUAGAGCCUCAGCGGAGAACAUGCAAGGAUUAUUCUAAUAUAAUUGAGACUAUAUGUCAGAAUGAUGAAUGAAAGUUUGGAUGAAAUGCUGAAGAAUUUGCACCUCUCAAUGGGGCAUGCGUCGCAAAUGAUCAAUUGAUCGCAGAAGAGUAAUCUUAGAUACUGCAACUCAGAAGCAACUCAUCAAUUUGAUCAGCACAAUAGAUAAUCAGCAAGGGUGUAGUUAUGAGCCAAGGGAAAAUAGUGCAA